rnacentral:tRNA from 1 species
GGGGUUGUAGGUCAGUGGUAGAGCACUUGCCUAGCAUGCAAGAGGCAUGGUUUGAUCCCUAGCAUCA